rnacentral:tRNA from 2 species
GGAUGGGUGGCAGAGCGGUUGAAUGCAGCGGUCUUGAAAACCGCCGAAGGGUAACCUUCCGUGGGUUCGAAUCCCACCCCAUCCG